rnacentral:tRNA from 1 species
GGGAAUAUGGCUUAGUGGUAGAGUGCUUGCAUCCCAUGCAUGAAGCCCUGGGUUCAAUUCCUCAGUACCA